GACGAACCGAGCGAACGUUGUUCGGAAUCACUGGGCUUAAAGGGCGCGUAGGCGGGCUGUCAAGUCUGGGGUGAAAUCCCGCGGCUCAACCGUGGAACUGCCUUAGAUACUGACGGCCUCGAGGGAGAUAGGGGCGAGCGGAACUGUGAGUGGAGCGGUGAAAUGCGUUGAUAUCCACAGGAACUCCGGUGGCGAAGGCGGCUCGCUGGAUCUCUUCUGACGCUGAGGCGCGAAAGCUAGGGGAGCAAACGGG
rnacentral:rRNA from 1 species